UCGGAGUGGCGUCGGCGUUAUCGCCUGACU
rnacentral:sRNA from 1 species